ACCAAGGAGUCUGACAUGCGUGCGAGUCGACGGGUUCUGAAACCUGGGAUGCGCAAGGAAGCUGACGAGCGGGAGGCCCUCACGGGCCGCACCGCUGGCCGACCCCGAUCUUCUGUGAAGGGUUCGAGUUGGAGCACGCCUGUCGGGACCCGAAAGAUGGUGAACUAUGCCUGAGCGGGGCGAAGCCAGAGGAAACUCUGGUGGAGGCUCGAAGCGAUACUGACGUGCAAAUCGUUCGUCUGACUUGGGUAUAGGGGCGAAAUACUAAUCGAACCAUCUAGUAGCUGGUUUCCUCCGAAGUUUCCCUCAGGAUAGCUGGAGCCCAUUACGAGUUCUAUCGGGUAAAGCCAAUGAUUAGAGGCAUCGGGGGCGCAACGCUCUCGACCUAUUCUGAAACUUUAAAUAGGUAGGACGGCGCGGCUGCUCCGGUGAGCCGCGCCACGGAAUCGGGAGCUCCAAGUGGGCCAUUUUUGGUAAGCAGAACCGACGAUGCGGGAUGAACCGGAAGCCUUGUUAAGACAGCAGGACGGUGGUCGUGGAAGUCGAAAUCCGCUAAGGAGUGUGUAACAACUCACCUGCCGAAUCAACUAGCCCCGAAAAUGGAUGGCGCUGAAGCGCGCGACCCACACCAGGCCAUCUGGGCGAGCGCCAUGACCCGAUGAGUAGGCGAGCGUGGCGGCCGCCGCAAAACCCGGGGCGGAGCAGCCAUCGGUGCCGAUCUUGGUGGUAGUAGCAAAUAUUCAAAUGAGAACUUUGAAGGCCGAAGAGGAGAAAGUGUGGAUAUUAUGUUACGCAUAUACCCACAAAUAUAGAAUAUCCGACU
rnacentral:ncRNA from 1 species